rnacentral:rRNA from 1 species
GAUGAACGCUGGCGGCGUGCCUAAUACAUGCAAGUCGAGCGAACAGACGAGGAGCUUGCUCCUCUGACGUUAGCGGCGGACGGGUGAGUAACACGUGGAUAACCUACCUAUAAGACUGGGAUAACUUCGGGAAACCGGAGCUAAUACCGGAUAAUAUAUUGAACCGCAUGGUUCAAUAGUGAAAGACGGUUUUGCCGUCACUUAUAGAUGGAUCCGCGCCGCAUUAGCUAGUUGGUAAGGUAACGGCUUACCAAGGCAACGAUGCGUAGCCGACCUGAGAGGGUGAUCGGCCACACUGGAACUGAGACACGGUCCAGACUCCUACGGGAGGCAGCAGUAGGGAAUCUUCCGCAAUGGGCGAAAGCCUGACGGAGCAACGCCGCGUGAGUGAUGAAGGUCUUCGGAUCGUAAAACUCUGUUAUUAGGGAAGAACAAAUGUGUAAGUAACUAUGCACGUCUUGACGGUUCCUAAUCAGAAAGCCACGGCUAACUACGUG